GAUACUGGUGUUACUUCAUGAGGCUGGAUUUUGUGGUGGCACACUCAAUUUAAAGUUCAAGUCCUGGAUUUCAUGAUGGCAUGCGGGAGAGGUGUAAACUUUCAGGAUGGGAUGCUACAUUAAAACAUCAGCAUGCAUCAGUGCAAUUUGAGGGUCGCAUUUUCCAGGGUCCUUGAAAAAGCAACUGUAAAAUUGGUAAAUGGAACAAAAGCAAUUAGCUUGCUUCAUUGCUCAGGUCCCUGCAGAAUCCACUCUGGCAAGUAUUGGAAGCAUUUCCAGUUACUCACUUUCAGUACAAAAGCUGUUAAAAGCAGAUCAUAAUGUAAAAAUUUUUUUGUUUUUUUUUUGUUUUUGCUUUGCCUGUGCUUAAUAUAAAACCCAUGUGUCUUUGCCGGGACAGUACACUCUGUGCUGUGCUCUGGGAACUGUAGUGCGCCAGCAGCUGAGCUCUGUAUAGAAAAGAAUUGGAAGACCUACAGUUCCCAACAUGCCUGGCAGUAGCUCUGCCUGUAAAGAGUUCUGCUUGUCUCAAAGCUUAAAAGGGCAAUUACAGAGUAGGAAAAGAGCUAAGACAGUUAUAGAGUAAAUAAAAGCCAUUGUAAACGAUGGCUGACUAGGAGACAAAACUGACUGAUAUUUAAACAGAAAGGGUGUUGCGCCUUUUCCGUAAGAGGAGAGUGUUCUCGAAGAUAUUUUUAAGCUAAUUUAAAGUACUUGUCAUACACGUCUUAAUGCCUCCAAUGAAAGCUAGAAGAGAAACGGGUACAGACAUGGCUGUUCGCUGUAAACCUACCCUCUGGCAUUCUUUGCGCUAUGUAUUGUGUACAGAUUUCAACUUGUGCAUGGCUUUCUGGGCAGCUGCAAUCAGACCUUGCUGCUGGGUAAUUCAUACCAGAUGGAGAACUCGGGCAGCUGCCUCCCAUUUAAAUUUGCAUGGAAGUUCUAGAAUUGCCAGAGCC